AAAAGCUCAAAUUUGAAAUCUGGCCCUAGCGGUCCGAGUUGUAAUUUGCAGAGGAUGCUUUUGGUGCGGUGCCUUCCGAGUUCCCUGGAACGGGACGCCAUAGAGGGUGAGAGCCCCGUACGGUUGGAUACCUAGCCUCUAUAUAGCUCCUUCGACGAGUCGAGUAGUUUGGGAAUGCUGCUCUAAAUGGGAGGUAAAUUUCUUCUAAAGCUAAAUACCGGCCAGAGACCGAUAGCGCACAAGUAGAGUGAUCGAAAGAUGAAAAGCACUUUGAAAAGAGGGUUAAAUAGCACGUGAAAUUGUUGAAAGGGAAGCGUUUGCGACCAGACCUUCUCCAGGGGGAUCAACCGCUGUUCUCAGCGGUGCACUCCCCCUGGUUUAGGCCAGCAUCGGUUCUCUUAGGGGGAUAAAGGCCUGGGGAACGUAGCUCUUUAGGGAGUGUUAUAGCCCCUAGCGUAAUACCCUUCAGGGGACCGAGGACCGCGCUUCGGCAAGGAUGCUGGCGUAAUGGUCGUCAACGACCCGUCUUGAAACACGGACCAAGGAGUCGAACAUUUGUGCGAGUGUUUGGGUGUUAACCCUCACGCGUAAUGAAAGUGAACGGAGGUGAGAGCCUUAGGGUGCAUCAUCGACCGAUCCUGAUGUCUUCGGAUGGAUUUGAGUAAGAGCAUAACUGUUCGGACCCGAAAGAUGGUGAACUAUGCGUGGAUAGGGUGAAGCCAGAGGAAACUCUGGUGGAGGCUCGCAGCGGUUCUGACGUGCAAAUCGAUCGUCAAAUCUGCGCAUGGGGGCGAAAGACUUAUCGAACCAUCUAGUAGCUGGUUACCGCCGAAGUUUCCCUCAGGAUAGCAGUGUUGUCUUCAGUUUUAUGAGGUAAAGCGAAUGAUUAGGGACUCGGGGGCGCUAUAUUGCCUUCAUCCAUUCUCAAACUUUAAAUAUGUAAGAAGCCCUUGUUACUUAGUUGAACGUGGGCAUUCGAAUGUACCAACACUAGUGGGCCAUUUUUGGUAAGCAGAACUGGCGAUGCGGGAUGAACCGAACGCGGGGUUAAGGUGCCAGAGUGGACGCUCAUCAGACACCACAAAAGGUGUUAGUACAUCUUGACAGCAGGACGGUGGCCAUGGAAGUCGGAAUCCGCUAAGGACUGUGUAACAACUCACCUGCCGAAUGUACUAGCCCUGAAAAUGGAUGGCGCUCAAGCGUCUCACCCAUACCUCGCCCUUA
rnacentral:rRNA from 2 species